AUUGAACGCUGGCGGCAGGCCUAACACAUGCAAGUCGAACGAGUGGCGGACGGGUGAGUAAUGUCUGGGAAACUGCCCGAUGGAGGGGGAUCACUACUGGAAACGGUAGCUAAUACCGCAUACCAUCAGAUGUGCCCAGAUGGGAUUAGCUAGUAGGUGGGGUAAUGGCUCACCUAGGCGACGAUCCCUAGCUGGUCUGAGAGGAUGACCAGCCACACUGGAACUGAGACACGGUCCAGAAUCCGAAGGGAGGCAGCAGUGGGGAAUAUUGCGAAAUGGGCGCAAGCCGGAUGCAGCCAUGACGAGUGUAUGAAGAAGGCCUUCGGGUUGGAAAGUACUUUCAGCGAGGAGGCGUUACUCGAAGAAGAAGCACCGGCUAACUCCGUGCCAGCAGCCGCGGUAAUUC
rnacentral:rRNA from 1 species